rnacentral:tRNA from 1 species
GGAUUGUGGCUCAGAGGUAGGGCACUUGCUUACUAUGCCUGAGGCACUGGGUUCGAUCCUCAGCACCA